UACGUAGGGAGCAAGCGUUGUCCGGAAUCAUUGGGCGUAAAGCGCGCGUAGGUGGCUUCGUAAGUCCGUUGUGAAAGUCAAAGGCUCAACCUUUGAAAGCCGAUGGAUACUGCGGAGCUAGAGUACGGAAGAGGCGAGUGGAAUUCCUGGUGUAGCGGUGGAAUGCGCAGAUAUCAGGAGGAACACCAAUAGCGAAGGCAGCUCGCUGGGACGUUACUGACACUGAGCGCGAAAGCGUGGGGAGCGAACAGG
rnacentral:rRNA from 1 species